rnacentral:rRNA from 1 species
GACGAACGCUGGCGGCGUGCUUAACACAUGCAAGUCGAACGGAAAGGCCUCUUUCGGGGGGUACUCGAGUGGCGAACGGGUGAGUAACACGUGAGUAACCUGCCCUUGACUUUGGGAUAACUUCAGGAAACUGGGGCUAAUACCGGAUAGGAGCUCCUGCUGCAUGGUGGGGGUUGGAAAGUUUCGGCGGUUGGGGAUGGACUCGCGGCUUAUCAGCUUGUUGGUGGGGUAGUGGCUUACCAAGGCUUUGACGGGUAGCCGGCCUGAGAGGGUGACAGGCCACAUUGGGACUGAGAUACGGCCCAGACUCCUACGGGAGGCAGCAGUGGGGAAUAUUGCACAAUGGGUGGAAGCCUGAUGCAGCAACGCCGUGUGCGGGAUGACGGCCUUCGGGUUGUAAACCGCUUGCGCUCAUGACGAAGCUUUGUGUGACGGUAGUGGGUAAAGAAGCACCGGCUAACUACGUG